AGAGUUUGAUCCUGGCUCAGAUUGAACGCUGGCGGCAGGCCUAACACAUGCAAGUCGAGCGGUAGCACAGAGAGCUUGCUCUCGGGUGACGAGCGGCGGACGGGUGAGUAAUGUCUGGGAAACUGCCUGAUGGAGGGGGAUAACUACUGGAAACGGUAGCUAAUACCGCAUAAUGUCGCAAGACCAAAGUGGGGGACCUUCGGGCCUCAUGCCAUCAGAUGUGCCCAGAUGGGAUUAGCUAGUAGGUGGGGUAACGGCUCACCUAGGCGACGAUCCCUAGCUGGUCUGAGAGGAUGACCUGCCACACUGGAACUGAGACACGGUCCAGACUCCUACGGGAGGCAGCAGUGGGGAAUAUUGCACAAUAGGCGCAAGCCUGAUGCAGCCAUGCCGCGUGUGUGAAGAAGGCCUUCGGGUUGUAAAGCACUUUCAGCGGGGAGGAAGGCGUUAAGGUUAAUAACCUUGGCGAUUGACGUUACCCGCAGAAGAAGCACCGGCUAACUCCGUGCCAGCAGCCGCGGUAAUACGGAGGGUGCAAGCGUUAAUCGGAAUUACUGGGCGUAAAGCGCACGCAGGCGGUCUGUCAAGUCGGAUGUGAAAUCCCCGGGCUCAACCUGGGAACUGCAUUCGAAACUGGCAGGCUAGAGUCUUGUAGAGGGGGGUAGAAUUCCAGGUGUAGCGGUGAAAUGCGUAGAGAUCUGGAGGAAUACCGGUGGCGAAGGCGGCCCCCUGGACAAAGACUGACGCUCAGGUGCGAAAGCGUGGGGAGCAAACAGGAUUAGAUACCCUGGUAGUCCACGCCGUAAACGAUGUCGAUUUGGAGGUUGUGCCCUUGAGGCGUGGCUUCCGGAGCUAACGCGUUAAAUCGACCGCCUGGGGAGUACGGCCGCAAGGUUAAAACUCAAAUGAAUUGACGGGGGCCCGCACAAGCGGUGGAGCAUGUGGUUUAAUUCGAUGCAACGCGAAGAACCUUACCUGGUCUUGACAUCCACAGAACUUUCCAGAGAUGGAUUGGUGCCUUCGGGAACUGUGAGACAGGUGCUGUAUGGCUGUCGUCAGCUCGUGUUGUGAAAUGUUGGGUUAAGUCCCGCAACGAGCGCAACCCUUAUCCUUUGUUGCCAGCGGUUCGGCCGGGAACUCAAAGGAGACUGCCAGUGAUAAACUGGAGGAAGGUGGGGAUGACGUCAAGUCAUCAUGGCCCUUACGACCAGGGCUACACACGUGCUACAAUGGCAUAUACAAAGAGAAGCGACCUCGCGAGAGCAAGCGGACCUCAUAAAGUAUGUCGUAGUCCGGAUUGGAGUCUGCAACUCGACUCCAUGAAGUCGGAAUCGCUAGUAAUCGUAGAUCAGAAUGCUACGGUGAAUACGUUCCCGGGCCUUGUACACACCGCCCGUCACACCAUGGGAGUGGGUUGCAA
rnacentral:rRNA from 1 species